rnacentral:rRNA from 1 species
AAAUGAAUUGACGGGGGCCCGCACAAGCAGCGGAGCGUGUGGUUUAAUUCGACGCAACGCGCAACACCUUACCAGGGCUUGACGUCCACCGAAUCCUCCUGAAAGGGAGGAGUGCCUUCGGGAGCGGUGAGACAGGUGCUGCAUGGCUGUCGUCAGCUCGUGUCGUGAGAUGUUGGGUUAAGUCCCGCAACGAGCGCAACCCUCGUCGCUAGUUACCAUGGUGUGUCUAGCGAGACUGCCGGACCAAACCGGAGGAAGGUGGGGAUGACGUCAAGUCAGCAUGGCCCUUACGCCCUGGGCGACACACACGCUACAAUGGCCGGGACAGUGGGCUGCCAAGCGGUAACGCGGAGCCAAUCCCCCAAACCCGGUCUCAGUUCAGAUUGAGGGCUGCAACUCGCCCUCAUGAAGGCGGAGUUGCUAGUAACCGCGGAUCAGCAUUGCCGCGGUGAAUAUGUUCCCGGGCCUUGUACACACCGCCCGU